GAUGAACGCUGGCGGCGUGCCUAAUACAUGCAAGUCGAGCGAACGGACGAGAAGCUUGCUUCUCUGAUGUUAGCGGCGGACGGGUGAGUAACACGUGUAUAACCUACCUAUAAGACUGGGAUAACUUCGGGAAACCGGAGCUAAUACCGGAUGAUAUUUUGAACCGCAUGGUUCAAAAGUGAAAGACGGUCUUGCUGUCACUUAUAGAUGGAUCCUCGCUGCAUUAGCUAGUUGGUAAGGUAACGGCUUACCAAGGCAACGAUGCAUAGCCGACCUGAGAGGGUGAUCGGCCACACUGGAACUGAGACACGGUCCAGACUCCUACGGGAGGCAGCAGUAGGGAAUCUUCCGCAAUGGGCGAAAGCCUGACGGAGCAACGCCGCGUGAGUGAUGAAGGUCUUCGGAUCGUAAAACUCUGUUAUUAGGGAAGAACAUAUGUGUAAGUAACUGUGCACAUCUUGACGGUACCUAAUCAGAAAGCCACGGCUAACUACGUG
rnacentral:rRNA from 1 species